rnacentral:tRNA from 1 species
GCCGACGUGGUGGAAUUGGUAGACACGCCGUCUUGAGGGGGCGGUGGCGAAAGCUGUGCUAGUUCGAGUCUCGCCAUCGGCACCA